rnacentral:rRNA from 1 species
UACGAAGGGGGCUAGCGUUGCUCGGAAUCACUGGGCGUAAAGGGUGCGUAGGCGGGUCUUUAAGUCAGGGGUGAAAUCCUGGAGCUCAACUCCAGAACUGCCUUUGAUACUGAGGAUCUUGAGUUCGGGAGAGGUGAGUGGAACUGCGAGUGUAGAGGUGAAAUUCGUAGAUAUUCGCAAGAACACCAGUGGCGAAGGCGGCUCACUGGACCACUUCUGACGCUGAGACACGAAAGCGUGGGUAGCAAACAGG